ensembl:lncRNA
UUGGACUUCCGGAGGGCGGACUUCAACCUCUUUAGGACCAUGGUUGAGAGGGUCCCUUGGGAGGUGCAGGACCUGACCACCCCCAUGUCACGGAAGAUGAGCCGACAGGCAAGGAGGCCGGGCUAGCUGAACAGAGACCUUUGGCUGGAUCUCAAGAACAAAAGGAAAGUUUAUGGUCUCUGGAAGAGUGGGCAAGCUACUUAUGAGGAUUACAGUACCUGAAGGAUGCUUACAGUGAGUGCGACUUCUCACUGGUGACAGGUGACAAGACGAGGGGAAAUGGCCUCAAGUUGCACCAAGCUGUGACCACUGAUACCUGCACUUAGUUCAGGCCCUGGAAUGUGAAACUAUCUUCACUGUGUAGAUGAAGCCAGCCUUCCUUCUGGUCACAGAAGUCCCUGUACCAUAGUGAUAUAUGAUAUAGCAAAGAUCCCUUGACUGCUGGCAGCUCCCUCCUAGGUACCAGGCAGUUGCUCUCUCAGCCUGUCUCAACCGGUGCAACUCGAAACUUAGCCUCAGCUUUCUUCAGGAUGUUGCCACACAGAUGGGCCUGUCUAGUGAGAGACUGACUACAUGAGUGUAGGAAGGGGCAGUGGACCACAAGCAGGCAGGUGCUGCUGCUGCUGCCAUCCCUGACGUUGCGCACGUUGUGCGUGAGCAACACAUCUAACAAGUUAGGCCUCUGUCCUACCAUGCACACAUGUGGAUGCCCUGAGGUCUGUUGAGGAGGCAGCUGGUCCUCCAGCACCAAGAGCCAGGAUAGGACAAACAUUCAGUGCCACAUCCUGCAUCACUGCUGGUACUGCUGCUUCCCCUGACAGUAGGCUGCCCUCCUUCCAUUCAAGUGAAUGGUAUACAGAAAAGAUGCUAAAGUUGCAGAGAUGGAAGCUGCUAAGAACAGUGUCCAGGCUGACAUCCCGGAGACCCUCCAUAGGCAACAGAAAAGUGUGGAGAGUUGGGCCAGAUAAGGACAUGACCUUGGCACCCAUAUCCACCCACCUCUAUGCCUCUUCUCAGCCAUCUCCCAACAUAAUAUUGGGGUCAACUCAAGUUACUGGUAUUAAUUAUGUCACUCCCUACACACAGACAAAAAAAAAAAAAAUGGUGAGCAACUUAGAUUGAUUACCACCUCUUUCCUGUGAAAGGGCAACCUGUUUGCUCUGAAGGUUACUGCGAAGCCCAAAGAGACUGUUGCUGUUAACCCUUUUGUAUGCAGAUCUGCUUUUGGAAAUAGAAGACAACUACAUAAAUAAAGGCCACCUCAUAUCAGGGCGAUCCGAACGACUCAAUGGUAAUUGAAAAGUUGAUUAUUUUUUGAUUCUUGGCCAAAAUCUUUAUCUUCAGUUAACAUUGGGCAGUUUCUGAGCUAAAGUUAUAAAAGGGCACGAGAAUGGAAUAAGACCUCUGAGAAGAAACUGCUGUGCAGCUCCUGCCUAUCUAUAAUGUAUCCACUCUAAAAUACAACCAUAAACGUCAGGCAUGAUUUAAUAGGUUAUAAAAUCUUACAUUAUGAUGCCACUGGAACUAUUGAAAAUAAAAGCAGAUAAAUCACACUUCUAU